rnacentral:rRNA from 1 species
UACGGAGGGGGGCUAGCGUUGUUCGGAAUUACUGGGCGUAAAGCGCGCGUAGGCGGACCUGCAAGUCGGGGGUGAAAGCCCGAGGCUCAACCUCGGAACUGCCUUCGAUACUGCGGGUCUCGAGUCCGGGAGAGGUGAGUGGAAUUCCUAGUGUAGAGGUGAAAUUCGUAGAUAUUAGGAAGAACACCAGUGGCGAAGGCGGCUCACUGGCCCGGUACUGACGCUGAGGCGCGAAAAGCGUGGGGGAGCAAACAGG